rnacentral:rRNA from 1 species
AAAGCUCAAAUUUAAAAUCUGGCGGCCCUUGUGACCGUCCGAGUUGUAAUCUAGAGAAGCGUUAUCCGCGCUGGACCGUGUACAAGUCUCUUGGAAUAGAGCGUCAUAGAGGGUGAGAAUCCCGUCUUUGACACGGACUACCAGUGCUUUGUGAUGCGCUCUCGACGAGUCGAGUUGUUUGGGAAUGCAGCUCAAAAUGGGUGGUAAAUUCCAUCUAAAGCUAAAUAUUGGCGAGAGACCGAUAGCGAA